UUGUCGGAUAAACGGCUGCGGCAUCUUAAUCACAGUUAGCUUGUGUUGUUGAAGACAUCAUUAUACAGUUGCAUAGUUGCUGCUGUGUGACGAUGAAUCAACCCCUGGAACAUGACCCUAUUUUUGAGAUACCUAAUGACUGCCAACGAGAAGCAAGUUUCAGGGGUUGGUCUUACAUGCAUAUUCCAAUAGAACCGCUCGUGGGAGGAGGAUUUACCUGUAUAAAUCCCAACACCUCAACAGUAGUAUGCACUGCCUGUGGACUGCAGGCCGACGCUGCAAGACUGAACGGCACAAGUCCGUAUGAUUUCCAUGUCCAACGAUCUCCUGGGUGUUUGUUCUUCAACCCUUUUAGACACGAGUCGAACCGCAGACAGUCCUUCCUGUAUUGGAGUGGAUACAGUGGGGCCCUGGAUAUUGAUGAUCUCGUUGCUGCUGGAUUUUAUCUUACCGAAUUUGGACAAGGGAAUAUUCAAUGUUUCUGCUGUGGUAUCAGUUCAUCAUCUUUAAGUCAAAUCGUUGACAUCAAACAACAACACGCUCAACUUAGCCCGCAUUGUGUCUUCAUAAGGAACGUGUAGAGCCAGUAACUAAAUAGAAGACUCCAAUGAAAUGAACUGAAUAGAACUGUGCAAUGUGGCUAUUUUCUUGGACAAUUAUUCCGUUGUUUUAUCUAAUAAAACAAAGUCAUUUAGUUAAUGUUAACUAUGACGCAGUAACCAUUGGUAGGUAAAUGACACUGUUGAUGGAAUUUAUAAUGACAAAUGAUCCUUAAUUACUCCUACUCCAAAGGGCAUCUCAUCUAAAGAACGAACUAGGCAACGUUUUGUUAAUGUCACUUGUUCAAACCCCCAAAAUUAGACCAUGGCAUCAUUAACAAAUUCGAAGGUUGAUUCAAAUUCAAUCUUGUUACUCUGUAAAUCGUUUUCCUUACAUUUAUUCAUGCUCCGUUUCUCUAGCUAUGUUCCUUAAUUAAUUGACUGUAUCAGUCCUCUAAUUCAAUAAAAAACAAAA